UGAACCCGGAAAUGCUGAGUCAGGGUGGCC
rnacentral:piRNA from 1 species